rnacentral:lncRNA from 1 species
UCAGCAUCAAAUCUCUCCUACCCUAACCCUCAAAGCUUCUAUUUGUGCGUUCAAGCUGUGUCUACUUCUGCUCUACAUCUUCUAUUUUAGGUGGCCGGCCAAAAUUGAAGUAUGACGCCGUGUUUGAGCACGUGGGUUUUAAAAGAAGAGCAAAACAUUCACUACUGGAGAUGUUUUUAAGAAUUGUAUUCUUAAAAUGGAGGAAAGGUAGAGAGUCAAGAGACGUGUUUUUUCUCUAGACUCUGAGACUUC